AAUUUUGUUUGAUCUGAAGUUGCAUGCUGUCGUACAGUGAUGUAUCAUUGCCUGCAAUCCUCCACAAAUGUCUUCAUCUUCUUCUUCCUCCCCCCACCCACCGCUCAAUUAAUUGUAAACGGUCCCCUCCAAAUCCCCACCAACAAAUCUCAAGUAUAAAGCAGAUCUCACUCUGCAACCCACAUUUCAAAUGCAGCAGGUGUACUUGAUUGAGUCUGACCCAUUUCCAGAACAUUUGCGCAUGGAGACAGACUUAUGGAGGGUCUAAUCAAUGGAAGAAGACGUGUGUUGCUCAACAGAGACCCCACUUUCUCCAUGUGAAAUGUGGGCCGUUGGAUUUCUUUAAAGCUUACUACUGUGCAUAAAGUGAAUUUGCAGCAUUAAAAAUGGAUGGGUUCCCUUUGGAUUUUUCUUGUGAUUUCAAAGAUUUGUUCUUGGUUGGUACACUAAGUGACAAAUUUGUUGGGUUUUAUAACAAAAACGACCAAAAGACAUGGAUAACAUUGUGCACAUCAACUGUUUGAUGAAAUGACUCUGUGAAUUUUCAUUUCUAUUAUGACAAAUGAUCAGACUCUGCAAAGCUUAAUUUAGGUUAUAUGUAUAUAAUCAAGAGCUCUAACACGUUUAUGUAAUGUGUUUUCGUUACCGAACCGAUCAAAAGACAUGGAUAAGAUUUUGCACAUCAACUGUUUGAUUAAAUGACUCUAUGAAUUUUUCAAGCCUAUUAUGACCCCUGAUCAGACUGAGAAACUUAUUUUAGGUUAGCUUUAACAUGUUUUGUAACAUAGUUUCAUAAGUAGACCAGUCAUCGAACCGACCGCCUUACUGUUUAGAUGGGCCGCGAUUAGAAUGGAAAUCAAUUCUUUAAUGAAUAGUGGAUGCUCAAAAUUCAAGAAUCAUGUUAGUAAUUCAAGAACUAAUGGCUCAAAAUUCAAAAAAGGAAAUUAAUAGUCAGAUCAAAAUCAGUGCAACACUUUCCCAAAAAUAGGAAGAAAGAACAGUGGAUUAGGAUUCAAGUUUGAGACUUUAGUUAAUUAAAUUUGUUUGUAAUAAAAGGCCAUCACAUCACCAAACAUGUCCCUUAUUCUCCAAACAUAUUUUGACCUCUUUUGUCUUGUGCUCUUCUUCAUCUUCCAAAUAAUAUUCCAAUCCCCUUGAAGAUCUCCCUUGCAUCAUCAUCAUCAUCAUCAUAAUCACCAUCUUCUACAUCUUCUAUUUAUAGUGUUAUCAUAUCAUAUCUUCUAGUUAUUUAACUACUCAUGGCACCUGCAACCACCUGCUCUUCUUGCCUCAGGUUGCUUAUCACUGUCAUUCUUCUCUUUUCUCUCACACUCUCACCUUCCUUUUCAGUUUAUGAAGGGGCAUCUGUUGUGCAACAAAAGAAGAAAAUAUUGGGAUCAAGACCACCAGGAUGUGUGAACAAGUGUAUGAAGUGUUCACCAUGUCAAGCCACUCUGGUUGUUCCUCCACACCAUAAGAUGAUUGGGUACAGAGAGCAAUCUUCUCAUGGUGAAGAUGAUUGUUAUUAUCUUCUUUCAUGGAAAUGCAAAUGUGGUGACAAACUCUUUCAACCUUGAAUUUAGUCAUGAUUAAUUAGAUAUAAGUUUUUAUGUGUAAGAUAGUGUAUGUAUAAUGUUGAUGCUUAUUUCCUGUUCUCUGUGAUUAAUAUAGAUCUCUAAUUCUCUAUU